rnacentral:rRNA from 1 species
CCUACGGGCGGCAGCAGUGGGGAAUAUUGGACAAUGGGCGAAAGCCUGAUCCAGCCAUGCCGCGUGUGUGAAGAAGGCCUUCGGGUUGUAAAGCACUUUCAGUGGGGAAGAAAGCCUUGGGGCUAAUACCCUCGAGGAAGGACAUCACCCACAGAAGAAGCACCGGCUAACUCCGUGCCAGCAGCCGCGGUAAUACGGAGGGUGCGAGCGUUAAUCGGAAUUACUGGGCGUAAAGCGCGCGUAGGCGGUCUGAUAAGCCGGUUGUGAAAGCCCCGGGCUCAACCUGGGAACGGCAUCCGGAACUGUCAGGCUAGAGUGCAGGAGAGGAAGGUAGAAUUCCCGGUGUAGCAGUGAAAUGCGUAGAGAUCGGGAGGAAUACCAGUGGCGAAGGCGGCCUUCUGGACUGACACUGACGCUGAGGUGCGAAAGCGUGGGUAGCAAACAGGAUUAGAUACCCCGGUAGUC